AACGAACGCUGGCGGCAUGCCUAACACAUGCAAGUCGAACGAGACCUUCGGGUCUAGUGGCGCACGGGUGCGUAACGCGUGGGAACCUGCCUUUAGGUUCGGAAUAACUCAGAGAAAUUUGAGCUAAUACCGGAUAAUGUCUUCGGACCAAAGAUUUAUCGCCUUUAGAUGGGCCCGCGUUGGAUUAGCUAGUUGGUGGGUAAAGGCCUACCAAGGCGACGAUCCGUAACUGGUCUGAGAGGAUGAUCAGUCACACUGGAACUGAGACACGGUCCAGACUCCUACGGGAGGCAGCAGUGGGGAAUAUUGGACAAUGGGCGAAAGCCUGAUCCAGCCAUGCCGCGUGUGUGAAGAAGGUCUUCGGAUUGUAAAGCACUUUAAGUUGGGAGAAGGGUAGUAACCUAAUACGUUGCUACUUUGACGUUACCGACAGAAUAAGCACCGGCUAACUUCGUGCCAGCAGCCGCGGUAAUGUCAGUGACU
rnacentral:rRNA from 1 species